ACGGUUAUAAAUCAACAUAUUGAUUUAUAAGCAUGGAAAUCCCCUGAGUGAAACAACGAAUUGCUGUGUAGUCUUUGCCCAUCUCCCACGAUGGGCUUUUUUUUAA
rnacentral:other from 1 species